rnacentral:rRNA from 1 species
GACGAACGCUGGCGGCGUGCUUAACACAUGCAAGUCGAACGGUGAAGCGCCUUCCUUUCUGGUCGGUGUGGAUGGGCGGCGAACGGGUGAGUAACACGUGAGUAACCUGCUCCCUUUUUCUGGAUAACCGCAUGACAGUGUGGCUAAUAGGGGAUAUUCUGGAUCUGUUGCAUGAUGGGUCUGGGAAGGUUAUUGUUUCGCUGGGGGAUGGGCUCGCGGCGCAUUAGCUGGUUGGUAGGGUGAUGGCGUACCAAGGCGGCGAUGAGUAGCCGGCCUGAUAGGGUGGUCGACGAUCACACAGGGGCGGAAACGCGGCGAAGACUCCGGGGGGAAGCAGCAGGGAAGAAUAUUGCACGAGGGGAAGAAGGCUGGUGCAACGACGCCGCGUGAGUGAUGGUGUCCGUCGGGUUGAGAACCUCUUUCGCGAGUGAAGCAGGCCGGCCUCGUUUGUGGGUGGGUUGACGGUAGCUGGAUAAGAAGCGCCGGCUAACUACGUG